CAAGUCGAGCGAGCGGAACCACAGAUUUACUUCGGUAAUGGCGUUGGGAAAGCGAGCGGCGGAUGGGUGAGUAACACGUGGGGAACCUGCCCCUAAGUCUGGGAUACCAUUUGGAAACAGGUGCUAAUACCGGAUAAUAAAGCAGAUCGCAUGAUCAGCUUUUGAAAGGCGGCGUAAGCUGUCGCUAAGGGAUGGCCCCGCGGUGCAUUAGCUAGUUGGUAAGGUAACGGCUUACCAAGGCGACGAUGCAUAGCCGAGUUGAGAGACUGAUCGGCCACAUUGGGACUGAGACACGGCCCAAACUCCUACGGGAGGCAGCAGUAGGGAAUCUUCCACAAUGGACGCAAGUCUGAUGGAGCAACGCCGCGUGAGUGAAGAAGGUUUUCGGAUCGUAAAGCUCUGUUGUUGGUGAAGAAGGAUAGAGGUAGUAACUGGCCUUUAUUUGACGGUAAUCAACCAGAAAGUCACGGCUAACUACGUGCCAGCAGCCGCGGUAAUACGUAGGUGGCAAGCGUUGUCCGGAUUUAUUGGGCGUAAAGCGAGCGCAGGCGGAAAAAUAAGUCUAAUGUGAAAGCCCUCGGCUUAACCGAGGAACUGCAUCGGAAACUGUUUUUCUUGAGUGCAGAAGAGGAGAGUGGAACUCCAUGUGUAGCGGUGGAAUGCGUAGAUAUAUGGAAGAACACCAGUGGCGAAGGCGGCUCUCUGGUCUGCAACUGACGCUGAGGCUCGAAAGCAUGGGUAGCGAACAGGAUUAGAUACCCUGGUAGUCCAUGCCGUAAACGAUGAGU
rnacentral:rRNA from 1 species